CUUUAUAAUAUUAGUUUAGAAAUUUAGGUACGGGGAAACGCAAAACUUACAUGCCACCAACAUAUUAGAAGAAAACAGGAACGCAAACAGUCACGGAGGCGUCCGU